CUAUCCAUAUCACCAAGGUGCACCUUUCUUUUCGGAAGCCCAAACGUUAGAACUCCGAAGUUAAGCGUACUUAGGCGAGAGCAGUACUAGGAUGGGUGACCCCCCGGGAAGUCCUCGUGUUGCACCU
rnacentral:rRNA from 1 species